rnacentral:lncRNA from 1 species
CUACAUUCUCUCUGACGGGAAACAUCCGUUUGAGGACACAAAGGAUCGUGAGGAGAACUUCAAGAAUGGGCAGCACUCUCUUGAAGAUUUACAAGAUACAGUAGCAAAGGAUCUCUUUAAAUGGAUGAUCAAGAAAGACCCGGCAGAGAGACUGACUAUUGAUGAGGUCCUGCGACACCCUUAUUUCUGGGAUGAAGACAGAAAUGUCAGAAAUGUAUUUGAAGAGAAGAGGAUUUUUGACCUCUUUCCAGACUUUUUCAUCAGUUUACACAGAGUGGCAAAAGACUUGAGCUGGAAAUAUUGAAGAUGCUGAGAGGACAUUACACCACAACAUACCAAAAGCAUUUACACUUUUAACAGUCGACAUCAAACUUCUCAUUAUUUGAAGUGGAGCAAUCAUUCUUGUCGACAUUUAAGCACUGUGCUCAGAAUUAUUACUUGCAGAUUUUCACAGUUGCUAAGACACUAAACCCCAUUAUCUUAACCAAAUUCUGAAUAGCCUAAACCAAUUUGUCAAAUAAAUCUGGUUUCUGCAAAACCUUUAAAAAAUUCAGACAUUGACUGGCAAUGGACAAAAUCGCCUGUGACAUAGAUGAAGUCCUCUGGCUGGACCCAGCUCUAAGACCUGAUCCUGAGGUAGAAUAAUAUUUCUGUUCUUUGUGUGUGUACAGGUUUAUAUAUCCUGGUGGGGACUUAAACCUGAAUAGACACAGACUCAUGGGGACUCGUGUCACGGUGGGGACCUAAAUUGUGAAUCUAAAAUCUAAAAAUGCAGAAAGUUUCCUGUAAGGGGUAGGUUUAGGGGUAGGGUUGGUGUAGGGCAAUAGAAUAUACGGUCUGUACAGUAUAAAAACCAUUACGCCUAUGGAGAGUCCCCACAAGGAUAGCUGACCAGACGUGUGUGUGUGUGUGUGUGUCUGUGUUUGUGUGUCUGUGUCUGUGUUCGUGUGCGUGUGCAUGUGUGUGUGUGUGUGUGUGUCUGUGUGUCUCUGUGUGUGUGUGUGUGUGUGUCUGUGUUUGUGUGUCUGUGUCUGUGUCUGUGUUCGUGUGCGUGUGCAUG